CUCCCCGCGGCGCACGGGAACAGCAUGGCGGCACAGCUGUGUGCGAGCCUGGCACGAUGUCAGGAAAGGAUUAAAACACUCAUCUGGCUGGGGACCUGAUUUAUCUACUGGACUGACAGCACAGCUGCACAAUGGAGGAAAUGGUCCUGCAGAGUCCUGGGGCUGCUGUUGCCCAAACACAGCUUUGGCAAGAGGGCAGCUGCUAAGCUAGACUUAAGCUGCUCUAGAAGCAACAGAAUAAAGAUUGUUUUGGACUGAGUGUCACAGAUGGCCACUGAUAAGUGACUUGUGUAACCACAGGCUCCUCCUCGAUGCUCAGGGGUUGCUGCAACCACACCAUAGGAUCUGACCUACAGGUGGCUGGAUGAAAAAGUGAUUCCCUGGUUUCUUCUGUUCCAGAAUAAAAUAAAUUUAAAUUAUGGGAAA